UAAUACGUAGGGUGCAAGCGUUAAUCGGAAUUACUGGGCGUAAAGCGUGCGCAGGCGGUGAUGUAAGACAGUCGUGAAAUCCCCGGGCUCAACCUGGGAAUUGCGAUUGUGACUGCAUCGCUGGAGUGCGGCAGAGGGGGAUGGAAUUCCGCGUGUAGCAGUGAAAUGCGUAGAUAUGCGGAGGAACACCGAUGGCGAAGGCAAUCCCCUGGGCCUGCACUGACGCUCAUGCACGAAAGCGUGGGGAGCAAACAGGA
rnacentral:rRNA from 1 species